UUUAUUUUAUUUGUUUUAUACUAAAAAGUAUAAAUAUACUUCCUCUUUACUUAAAAUAUAUCACUUUUUACAUAACAAUAUAUUUUAAGUAAAACAAUAGCAAUUUAUUUGGGUAGCUUUUUGUAUGAGUUUGUUGUGUACAAGAAAUGUUAUAAAAGUGAGUUGAAAUACACAAUUUAUUUGAGCAGCUGUCGAUGUGGCAUGUGUGUUCAUCAAACUUAAAUAUUUGAAAUAAAAAACACAUAAAAAUUAAGUUGGAUUUAUCCCUUUUUCACUGGCGGGGACUUUCCAAGGCAGAUGCUUCCUCGGCACUUCAACUGUUUGAAAGCUGCAGCGGAUCUAAAUUUCACAGACUGAUUAACACGUCUCCGGUGGGGCAUGCAGCUGUCGUGGGGUCCUCGUGUUAUCAGCAGCAGAGUUGUAACCAAGCGUUUUUGUUACCUGGGGUCUUCAGAUACAGGAUCCGUCUGGCUAUGUGGAGAAAAGGAGAGAAGUGGUACUGAGAUGCCUGAUUGAGUACAUGUGGGAGGGAAAGGAAGACCUCAUCAGUGUCCACCAUAGUCAUGAUGAAACAGAGGUGCACGCUGAGCUUGGCAGUUCCCCACUGAAAAUAUACAUGCGCCAUCAGCCAAACACGAUUGGGAUUAUCACAGUAGAAGGACAGCCCAUGGUCAGAGGUGUACCAAACCUGUAGAAAACCUCCUGUUUGGACUUGUCUAUGCCCACAACCUCUAAUAUCACUCAAAUCUGGUGUAUACUUCUGAGAUAUAUCACAGGCUCUUUGUGGGAUUGGACCCUAUGCAUACUUUUGUAUGUUUUGUAGGCACUGUUAAAAGUGACACUAGUUGACAUUGAAUAAAUGUUAUUGUCUUUAAUCUGUCUUCCCAUCUUUUUCUUCUUCAAUUGAAUUUGUAAUUGUUAUUGAUAAAGUCUGUUUAUGUAAAGUGAUUUACUGUACUGCUUAGAAUAUAGACAUUUAGAUGUAUUUUCUGAGGUUAUAGCCAGGACUUAAUUAAAAUGUUUAUUCACAUUUGAUUAGGUUAAAUUUACUAUGAGCAUAAAGUUCAUAAAACCUAACUAAAAUGAGUACAGGUUACUUGUAGCAACACAUAAAUACGUUACAUAUACCAAGAAAAUUAGGUUUAUCUAACUGACUAAUAUAGCACUUAUUAGUUAACUCAACUUGAUUUUGUUGUGUUUGAAUUAAGUAAUUUUACAGAGUUUAUUAUACUUGAAAAAGGCUGCAAGUUGACUCAACUUAAAACAUCCAAUGCAGCCACUUGCCUCACUUUUUAUAAGUUUGAUCUAGGUAUU